AGUGGCGAACGGGUGAGUAAUAUAUCGGAACGUACCCUAGAGUGGGGGAUAACGUAGCGAAAGUUACGCUAAUACCGCAUACGAUCUAAGGAUGAAAGUGGGGGAUCGCAAGACCUCAUGCUCGUGGAGCGGCCGAUAUCUGAUUAGCUAGUUGGUAGGGUAAAAGCCUACCAAGGCAUCGAUCAGUAGCUGGUCUGAGAGGACGACCAGCCACACUGGAACUGAGACACGGUCCAGACUCCUACGGGAGGCAGCAGUGGGGAAUUUUGGACAAUGGGCGAAAGCCUGAUCCAGCAAUGCCGCGUGAGUGAAGAAGGCCUUCGGGUUGUAAAGCUCUUUUGUCAGGGAAGAAACGGUGAAAGCUAAUAUCUUUUGCUAAUGACGGUACCUGAAGAAUAAGCACCGGCUAACUACGUGCCAGCAGCCGCGGUAAUACGUAGGGUGCAAGCGUUAAUCGGAAUUACUGGGCGUAAAGCGUGCGCAGGCGGUUUUGUAAGUCUGAUGUGAAAUCCCCGGGCUCAACCUGGGAAUUGCAUUGGAGACUGCAAGGCUAGAAUCUGGCAGAGGGGGGUAGAAUUCCACGUGUAGCAGUGAAAUGCGUAGAUAUGUGGAGGAACACCGAUGGCGAAGGCAGCCCCCUGGGUCAAGAUUGACGCUCAUGCACGAAAGCGUGGGGAGCAACACGAUUAGAUACCCUGGUAGUCCACGCCCUAAACCAUGUCUACUGUUGU
rnacentral:rRNA from 1 species